GUUGGGCUGUUCGCCCAUUAAAGCGGUACGCGAGCUGGGUUCAGAACGUCGUGAGACAGUUCGGUCCCUAUCCGUCGUGGGCGCAGGAAAUUUGAGAGGAUCUGUCCUUAGUACGAGAGGACCGGGAUGGACAUACCUCUGGUGUACCAGUUGUUCUGCCAAGAGCACCGCUGGGUAGCUACGUAUGGAUUAGAUAAUCGCUGAAAGCAUCUAAGUGAGAAACUAACCUCGAGAUGAGAUUUCCCAUUCGUCAGAAGUAAGACCCCUGAGAGACGAUCAGGUAGAUAGGCUAGAAGUGGAAGUGUAGUGAUGCAUGGAGCGGACUAGUACUAAUAGGUCGAGGACUUAACCAAG
rnacentral:rRNA from 1 species